rnacentral:misc_RNA from 1 species
UCCGGCUUAUCACCGGCAGUUUCCUUUGAGUUCCCACCAUUACGUGCUGGCAACAAAGGACGGGGGUUGCGCUCGUUGCGGGACUUAACCCAACAUCUCACGACACGAGCUGACGACAGCCAUGCAGCACCUGUGUUCCUGCCACCCGAGGUGAAGGGAUCCGUCUCUGGAUCCCAAACAGGACAUGUCAAGGCCUGGUAAGGUUCUUCGCGUUGCCUCGAAUUAAACCACAUGCUCCACCGCUUGUGCGGGUCCCCGUCAAUUUCUUUGAGUUUUAAUCUUGCGACCGUACUCCCCAGGCGGAGUGCUUAAUGCGUUAGCGGCGGCACUGAGGGGUAACCCCCCAACACCUAGCACUCAUCGUUUACAGCGUGGACUAC